rnacentral:rRNA from 1 species
UACGGAGGGUGCAAGCGUUAUCCGGAUUCACUGGGUUUAAAGGGUGCGUAGGUGGGCAGGUAAGUCAGUGGUGAAAUCUCUGGGCUUAACCCAGAAACUGCCGUUGAUACUAUCUGUCUUGUAUAUAGUGGAGGUGAGCGGAAUAUGUCAUGUAGCGGUGAAAUGCUUAGAUAUGACAUAGAACACCAAUUGCGAAGGCAGCUCGCUACACUAUUAUUGACACUGAGGCACGAAAGCGUGGGGAUCAAACAGG